rnacentral:lncRNA from 1 species
CUUCCUUCUUCCCUCUCUCCUUCCUCCCUCUUCAUCUUGUCUUCCCUUCCUUCCUCCCUCUCUCCUUUCCUUCGUCCUUUCUUCUUUUCUCUCCCUUUCCCUCUCCCAUCCUUCCUCCUUCUCUUUCCCAGGCAAUUCUUUUCUUUUCUUCCCCAACCCUUUCUCCUCUCCUUCCCUCCCCCUUCGUCUCUUCCCUUCCCCUCUUUUUCUCCCUUUCUCUUUCCCUUCUUCAAUCCCUUUCUCUCUUGCUGUCUUUUUCUCCACCUUGUUCAGAAAAGCCUGCAAAGCAGAGCCUGCUCUCAGAGUCAUGUCACGAGUAACCCAUUUGUGUUACUUGCGGUUUACCUACCUGUAGAAAAUUUGUACCCUAAGAUCUCCACAUACUGCGGGCAAAUGGUUUAUAAUUCAACUUCACAAAUAUUUACUGUGCUCUGGUUAACUGAGUAUCCUUUGUGCUAGAGGUGCCAGAGAGAUGCAAAUGGCAGCGCCAGUCCUUGGAGGAGCCAGUCUGGGGCCCCUGGCUGAUGUUGGCAGAAGACACAUCCCUCUCUCCCUUCAAGGAUGCUGAAGAGCUCUCUGUCUACUAGUACCCUGGGCCCACUUUUCUCUCCAACAAGGUGCAGAAAAGGGCAUCGUUGCCAGGUUUGCAAGAUCGUAACAAGACAGUGCAUUGUAGGUAUAAUCUGCCGGAAUGAGGAGGCGCUCAGCCUGCGCGGAUUGGAAGGGCCACAUAAACAUCUGUCAGUCCAUUGACAACAGCACCCAGAAGCCCGAAUUGUGACUUCACACCGAUUUCUUCCCCUGCUAUAAAUUCUACAAGAUCGUCAACAUAAAUAAGACUUUCUCCUCAACCAGUUUUUCAGGGCCAUGCCAGGCUUUAAAAUGGGCAGGCCCCUGGCCGGG